rnacentral:rRNA from 1 species
AUUGAACGCUGGCGGCAGGCCUAACACAUGCAAGUCGAACGAGUGGCGGACGGGUGAGUAAUGUCUGGGAAACUGCCCGAUGGAGGGGGAUAACUACUGGAAACGGUAGCUCAUACCGCCUACUCUCGGAUGUGCCCCGAUGGGAUUAGCUUGUAGGUGAGGUAACGGCUCACCUAGGCGACGAUCCCUAGCUGGUCUGAGAGGAUGCACAGCAACACUGGGACUGAGACACGGUCCAGACUCCGACGGGAUGCAGAAGUGGGGAAUAUUGCACAAUGGGCGCAAUCCGGAUGCAGCAAUGCCGGGGGGAUGAAGAAGGCCUUCGGGUUGUAAAGUACUUUCAGCGGGGAGGCGUUACCCACAGAAGAAGCACCGGCUAACUCCGUGCCAGCAGCCGCGGUAAUAC